rnacentral:pre_miRNA from 12 species
GGGCAGCGCGCCGGCACCUUGGCUGCAGACUGCUUACUGCCCGGCGCCCCGAGUAACAGUCUCCAGUCACGGCCGCCGACGCCUGGC